ACUUAACUGAUUUCUUCGGAAUGAUUUUAAGUGGAUUAGUGGCGGACGGGUGAGUAACGCGUGAGUAACCUGCCUUGCACAAGGGGAUAGCCGUUGGAAACGACGAAUAAUACCCUAUGAUAUAAACUCUUCGCAUGAAGGGCUUAUCAAAGAUUUAUCGGUGUAAGAUGGACUCGCGUCUGAUUAGCUAGUUGGUGGGAUAAAAGCUCACCAAGGCGACGAUCAGUAGUCGGCUUGAGAGAGUGUACGGCCACAUUGGGACUGAGACACGGCCCAAACUCCUACGGGAGGCAGCAGUGGGGAAUUUUGCACAAUGGGGGAAACCCUGAUGCAGCGACGCCGCGUGAUUUAGAAGGCCUUCGGGUUGUAAAAAUCUUUUUUACGGGAUGAAAAUGACAGUACCGUAAGAAUAAGGUCCGGCUAAAUACGUGCCAGCAGCCGCGGUAAUACGUAUGGACCGAGCGUUGUCCGGAAUCAUUGGGCGUAAAGGGUACGUAGGCGGCCUAGUAAGUUAGAAGUUAAAGAAUAUAGCUCAACUAUAUAAAGCUUUUAAAACUGCUAGGCUUGAGAGAUGGAAGGGAAAGUGGAAUUCCUAGUGUAGCGGUGAAAUGCGCAGAUAUUAGGAAGAAUACCGGUGGCGAAGGCGACUUUCUGGUCAUCAUCUGACGCUGAGGUACGAAAGCGUGGGUAGCAAACAGGAUUAGAUACCCUGGUAGUCCACGCUGUAAACGAUGAGUGUUAGGUUCUUGGAAUAAUCUGGGAGCCGCAGCUAACGCAUUACACUCCGCCUGGGGAG
rnacentral:rRNA from 1 species